rnacentral:rRNA from 1 species
UACGGAGGUGGCAAGCGUUGCUCGGAAUCACUGGGCGUAAAGGGCGCGUAGGCGGGGAGGUAAGUCGGGUGUGAAAUCCCUCGGCCCAACUGAGGAACUGCGCCCGAGACUGCUUCUCUUGAGUCCCGGAGAGGAAGAUGGAAUUCCCGGUGUAGCGGUGAAAUGUGUAGAGAUCGGGGGGAACACCGGUGGCGAAGGCGGUCUUCUGGACGGUGACUGACGCUGAGGCGCGAAAGCGUGGGUAGCAAACAGG